CUCUCUCUCUCUCUCUCUCUCUCUCCAGCCCCAUGCCUAUCUAUCUGCUUCCCAUGAUCAUGGACUCACCGUCUGAAACCGUAAAGCCCUCCGUUACAUGCUUCCUUUUACAAGAGUUGCCUUGUUUGUAGUAUCUCUUCACAGCAGUGGAACAGUAACUAAGACACCCAGCAUUUCAGAGGUCAGAGCAGUGCACUGUGACCCCAAAUCUUAGCCUAUGGCAUUGUUGACCAUAAAUUUCAUUGUUGCCAUAAGCUAUCUGAUGUCAAGGCCUCAGGUAUGCAGACACUAUAAGCAGGGUACUCCCAAGAGCUGGGCCCUGGACCAGCCUUGGUGAGCAAGCAUGGAGGAUUUGAACAACCUGUGUCUGGUGAGUUUAUUCUUCAUCGUGCAAUGACUUUUCUCAUUUGUAGUGCUUUGGCAAUAACCGCAUUGCUUUUACCACCGCAACUCACAAUUAAACUACUUUCUUUCCUUCUCUCUUUUUUGGGAGUAGGGUUGGGGGCAGGAUCUCAAAGUCACUGUCACCAAGAAGGGUCCUGAAUUUUUAAUCUACCUCUGUCUCCCUGAUGUCACCAUACACCCAGUUCAUACAGUGUUGGGGGUAGAACCAGGGCCAUGGUAGACAACUGGGUGCCCUCCCAGCAUAAUUAAACUAUUGGUAUUUGUAUUCUGCAAAAAGGGUGAUGCUUCAAACACAUCUGUGUGGUGUCAUUUUAGUAUUGUCUUAUCAAGCUAAAUCUCUAUGUGUCAACUUUCCGAACUACCAGAGUGACAUCUCAAUAACUGGUGACAUGGUAUCCUAUGAAGCGUGAAUAUUGGUAGGCAUUCCCAAAGCCUGGCAAAUAUCCUCAUGAAUUCACACUACAUGAUGAGGCCAGGAACAAAACUCUACUUCAUUCUCAAGACAGAAAUCUCAAUCCAGGGUGCUAAAGGACCCGGAAGCCCGGAACAGCACGACAAGAAGGUGCCCGAAUGACGUAUUUGUCACCCGACCGCUUGAGAGCCAAGUAAUUUCAAGCCUCUUGGCUCUGGUGGCUGUGUCCGAAUGAAGCAUUGGGCGUCGUCUUAGAAGUCUGCCCGGCCUGGAGAAGAAAGGGCGGCUGCUCAUUUGUAGGCAGUCCUUGUCCUGGCUCAGCACAAGCUCAGAUACCCACUCUCGUCUGCUCUAGCUGCUGCCACCGCGACCUUGUUCUCUGGCCCAGAAUGAAAGUCAGAAUUGCUUGCCUGCUGCCAAGCCCUCUGUCUAAUGCUUAGAUGAUGCUCAUCCAAGCAGCUUCGUUACCGCCCACGUUUUACAGAUAAGGACACCGAGCCAGGGCAAGUCUUGGGACAGACCACGGGAGACAAAGCCUCUUCAUUUCGAUGCUUGAUGAAGCAUGACCAUGGAGGGAUGCAUUUCCAGUUCUCACAAGCCAGCACUUGAAAGCUGUGCAUGAUGCCUGGGAGCCAUGCAUCUCAAGCUCCCAGAAAAGGCAUAAAUAUGUUAACAUUUUUGGAUAAAAUCUCUUCCCUCUGAGCUACACAAAGUAGCAGGCAUCACACACACACACACACAAAAAAAAAGAGCAAAUUUCUGGGAAAUAUGCAGCCCACGGUGAUGACUCCCUAACAUUUGGAGUUUAGAUCUGAUUAUGAGUUAUAUGUCAAGUGGUAACAAAUUCCGAACAAGUAGACUGAAACUAAAUAAACAGUUGCUGCGCCUACUCUCCAGCAGUUAAUUAUAGUAGGGACUCUGCUUCUUGGGAAGUAUUGUUAUAAUCAAUUAUAAUUAGUGAUUUGAAACAGGGAUACUUUUUAAAAAAUGGGUGGUGAAGAGCCUUGCACGAGCUGAACCAUUUGUGUUAAAGCUUCCCCUAAGAAACUCAGUAUUCUUUGGCAGCCUAAGAACAAAACAAAACAAAAAACCCUCUCAGUCAAAACUGCCAGUCAAGAGCCCUGGACAUUAUUCAAACAGGCUAGAAUGAGCCCUGUAAGUGUUCAGGUGUAGAGAGGCCUCGAGUGCCUGGGAAAAUAUCCUGCAUAUUGAUGGCUCUCUGCUGAUCGCUGCUGCUUUCCAGCUGCAUUUCCAUCAGGAUUUCUCUGCCUUGGAAGAUGUGACAAUUUAAAAAGUGCUUUAAUAUCCCGACAAUGGGCCCAGGAGCAGCACGAGAGCCACACGAGGACUCCUAAGACAGGGACAGAUGCCAGGCUGUCGAGGGUGCUCCAGGGCUGCCAUUUUACUGUCAUGACUGGGUUUGCAACUAUGAAGUCACUGGGUUCCAGGUCGCACAGUCCAGGUAAAGGUAGCUCCUGAGAGCUCGUCUUUGUGUGUUUGCAUGUAUGGGUGUUCGUGUGGAGGCCAGGGUUUCCCCUCAGGAACCAUCCAGAUUGUUUAUAUGAGACGAAGUCUCACUGGGACCUGGAGUCUUCCAAUUCAGCUCAGCUGGCUGGCCAGCGAGCGUCAAGAAUCCUCCUUUCUCCACCUCUCCAGAGCUUGGGUUAAAAGCACACAGUACCAAGCACAGCUUUGUCUUUGGCUACUGGAGUCAAACUCAAGUCCUUGUGUAGGCGGAGUUUUCCUGUGCCGGUAGCCACUCCCAAAUAACUUCAUGUUAAUUGUGAAUGCUUGGCCAAUAGCUCAGGCUUGUUACCAGCUAACUCUUACGUUUCUGCUAUCUUAAAAGUGAUGAGGAGGCAGACGAGGUCAGAAGGUGAGGGGAAAACUCAACCCCCAUCCCAGCUUUGAGGAUGGAGGAAGGAGCCCCGAGCAAUAGCCUCUAGAAGCUGAAAAUGCAAGGGAUGAUUUAUUUGCAGACCCUCCAGAGAGAGUGCAGCCCUGAUGCUUGUUUGGUGUUAGCUCAGUGGGAUAUGCAUGCAACGGAAAAAAAAUUAUUAUUUUUGUUGUUGUUGUUUUGGUUUUUUGAGACAGGGUUUCUCUGUGACUUUAGAGGCUGUCUGGUAGCUCUUGUAGACCAGGCUGGUCUUGAACUCACAGAGAUCCACCUGCCUCUGCCUCCCGAGUGCUGGGAUUAAAGGCGUACACCACCAAUGCCCAGCCAGAAAGUAAUUAAGUCUGCCAUAGUUAACAAAUACUCUGUGAACUAGACUCAUGGUGGGUAAGGGGACUCGGCUUCCUUGAGGAUCCCAUCCAGGACAACAGAGCCUAGACUGUCUGGGGCUCUUAAGACACUCACGGGGUAGAAUGAGCCAUAAGCUCACUCGUGGGUAGAAUACGGCCUAGGCUUCCGCAUGUGGGUGAGCGGGUAUGCUAAACCAAAAGGACCACUCCCCAGAGCAAUUGCUGUGCGUGUGUCUUCUCCCCUUUUCCUAAUAGUGGCCACUGCCUGCUAUUCUGCUACGUGUUCUUAAGAUUCAGCCCUCAGGGUGGUCACGUAGUCUUUAUUCUCUGUUACUUACACCUUUGUGCUUAUUUCUUCUUUCUUUCGUUUUUGCUCCCUUUGAAGGUGUUUUCAAGCAGAUUUACUUUCAUUAUAUUUGAAUCGUUUUGCGUAUGUGUGCACACACACGUGUGUGUACUCUAUAUGUGUAUGUGUGUGUGUACUCUGUGUGUGUGUGUGUCUGUCUGUGUCUGUGUGUCUGUGUAUGUGUCUACUAUGUACGUGCAGUGUCCGCAGAGGGCAGAACAGAGCAUCAGAUCCCUGGGACUGGAGUUUCAGAAGGUGGUGAGUCGCCCUGUGGGUGCUGGAAACAGUACCUGUUUCCUCUGCAAGAGCAGUCAAUGCUUCUAAGUGCUGAGCUAUCUCUCCAAGCCCCCUAGUUUUACAUUUGUUUUUGUUUUUUAUUUGUAUGAAUAUGUAAAACUAUGUAUCCUUCUCUGAUGGACUUUUAAAAUAUAUCCCAUACCUUCUGAAA